rnacentral:misc_RNA from 1 species
GUGCAUAAGGAGGUCUGGUGUUGCAAUAAUAACGAGGGAGCGAGCGAGCAUGGGGUAGGAACUAAUGAAGUACGGCAGUCAAUGUCUGCUGAACACUGGUGAGACGAUUGUCACCUGCUGUUGAAAACCCCGGAGCCGAUACACACCGCACAGCGACAUCUGGCACAGCCGACUGGCUCCCGGCUAGUCUAGCUUGCAUUAAUAAUGAGUUCCAAUGUCCACCGGUUAGAUUAACCAGUGGUAGUCACAAAAAAACUCCAACCCCAUGAUACAUCUAUACAGUUUUAGUUUAUAGAGAUGUCGCACAAAAUCUCCAGAUAGCGUUGUCAGGAUGUCAUUUGGACUGGCUUUGGGGGAGGAGUUAGACUUGGAAAACUGGGUGGAUCUUGAAGACGACGUCUUUUUAGAGGAAGACAUGGGGUAUGGAGCAUGUGAUAAGACGGUGUUCAGUCACUCGAGGGACGUCAACCAAGAUGGCGUUGGUCGAGCGCGUCGAAAGAGUGCCCCAAGCACUGGGAUUCAGAUGACCACAGAUGCAUCGGGCCAACAGUCAAAAUUUUCGGGUAUUUUCCCCAAGCGAAUGAAAAUUGCUCUUAAGCGGACCAAGAGCGUCGGGAAGUUUGACAAACACGCUACGUUGAAAGAAGAGGACGAAGAAUCGGACAUGACGUCCCCUCAUUCCAUCAAGCCCUCCCACUCCCACGAGUCUCUCCUCCUUGGGCCUCAGACGUCCUUAGACGUCUUCGAUCUCUCGGCCAAUGACCUGGUCAUCCUGCCACUACACAGCAGCAUCUUGGGCCAGGACCACUGCUUCCAGAUCACCAACUCGCUGGGCAAGAAGUACUACUCGUGUCGCUCGGCCAGCGAACGAGAUAAAUGGAUGGAAAGCAUUCGCAGCGCCGUUCACCCGGAGAAGGACAACAAACGACGGAAGGACAGCGUCCUGAGACUGUGGGUGGUGGAGGGCAAAAAUGUACCACUCAAGAGAAAGUACUACUGUGAGAUUUGUCUGGAUGAUACGCUCUACGCCAGAACCACCGCCAAGUCCAGAGGUGACAUGGUCUUCUGGGGCGAACAGUUCCUUUUCACAUGUCUUCCAGAAGCUAAAAGCGUCAAGGUUCAUUUGUACAAAGAACCGGACAAGAAGAAAAGAAGGGACAAAAACUACAUAGGGGUCGUUUCCAUUCCGCUGGACCCAAUCAGCAAUCGGGCAACGAUCGAGAAAUGGUAUCCCUUGACCAACACCUCUACAAAAGGUGACACGCCUAGUCUACGAAUCAAAGCAAGAUAUCAGAGCAUCAGUAUUCUACCCAUAGCACAGUACUCAGAACUUGCACAGUACUUGAAAGAGAACGCCGUCAGCUUGUGUCAACUCAUUGAGCAGCAGAUUAACGUCAAAACAAAAGAGGAGAUUGCAACGUCGCUGAUUAAAGUACUCCAUUGCCUCGGCUUGGCCAGCGAGUUUCUGGUGGAGUUGGUCAUGACGGAGACAAGAACAAUGAAUGAUGAGAGCCUGGUUUUCAGAGCCAACACCAUGGCAACCAAGUCCAUGGAGGCAUACAUGAAGCUGAUCGGUGGAAAGUACUUACAAGACACCAUUGGUGACUUUGUCCACACAAUAUAUGAAAAUGAGGAGGAUUGUGAGGUGGAUCCUACCAAGGUCUCUAGUAGUAUCCUACUCCAGCAGCACCAAGCCACACUGACCAUGCUGUGUGAGAUGGCCUGCUGUAAGAUUGUCAACUCGGCGGCUGCGUUUCCCUCUGAGCUCCGCGCCGUCUUCAACUCCUUCUCGCAGCACAGUCAGAAUCAGCCCAACGGCCAGGUCAUCUGUGAGAAGCUUAUCAGUGGCUGUAUCUUCCUGAGAUUCCUGUGCCCUGCCAUCAUGUCGCCCAGUCUCUUUGAUUUGAUUCAGGAGUAUCCCAGCGAGAAGACGUCACGUUGCCUCACCCUCAUUGCCAAGACGGUCCAGGGUCUUGCCAACUUCACAAAGUUUGGAACCAAAGAAAGCUACAUGGUCUUCAUGAACGAGUUCUUGGAGCGAGAAUGGUGCAACAUGAAGACGUUCCUUCAAGAAAUAUCGAGCACUCCAGACAAGGCCAACACGGUGAAGUUCAACGGCUACACAGACCUGGGCAAGGAGUUGUCGCUGCUUCAUAGCUUACUGGUUGAAACGUUGGAUGACUGUGAAAAGCUGUCAGAGGACAAGGUUGGCCCCUUGAAGAGCAUCUUAGCUCGCAUCACAUCCUACAGCAAACUACCUGAGGGAACAAUACCCUACAGCUCCUCCAACUUCAUCCAGAUGGUUCAAGGCUCAUCCAGCACAACAGUUACCAUGACGUCCACGGCUACGUCUCCCAUGGGCAAAAAGAGUCUGAAUAAGAUCUUCGACGAUGCCAAGUUGUCCGACUCGACAGAUGUAGAGAUGCUGCCACCGUAUAACAUUGCCAUGGAGCGGUCUAUCACAUCAUCAACGGUGAACAACCUGGUGGAUUUCAUCCAGCAGGAUAAUACGAACUUGACCAAUGGGAAGACAGAACUCAGCACGGCUGUUUUCGAGAUUGGCAACACCCAGACUGACGCUACCCAGAUCGAAUCGAGUACGACAGUAGAGCAGGUCCGAACGACGACAGAAUAUGAGGAGAGGAUUAUGGAGGAGUUGGAAGGAGACAUGGUGGUCUCCAUGACAUCAGAGACCAAAAAAUCUGUCAAUCAGUCGUAUUCAGUCAGUCUGGAAAGAAGUGUUGCCGCCAAUCCAGCAAUUAGUACUAACGAAACAAACAGAACCACGCUUGCCAUAGAUAGAAAUGCAGGCGGGGAUGCACGGGGCAAACGGAGGAACAGAACAUUACCGCUAUCCUUCCAAAAUCCAGCCUACCUACUCUCUAAGAAAUCCUUGCGACACUUGGAAGUUGGGGCUUCGGACAGUGUCAGUUCCUCCAACAGCAGUCCUAGCAACUCAGACGGGGCUUCAUCCAACCACGAUGGGGAUGUGUCUCAAAAUAGCUCCUCCUGUGGAGGUGUGUCUCCGCCCAUGAAUAGGAAGACAGCAUCGUCAAAAGGACCCUCGUCAUCCGCGAAGGUAGACAUUAUGGCACACACGCUACCCAAAGCUGCUCACCGCUCACACAACAUCACCUCUGUUGAUCUCUACCCGAAAGUCGACAGGCAAAUCGGGGAGAGCCAGAGUAGCAGUGCGAUCAAUGCCAAUGUGACUAAACCUCAGAUCAACAGUAGCUACAGCAGUACUUCUCUCUUCGACCCUGCCCGGACUCAGCCAAGCGUCACAUCUCCCACGGAAGCAAUUCGUGCUAUGAAUAAUGCUGCCAAGGCGGCGUUCUUUUCAUCAGUGAUUGCUCCUGGACGGGAGUCCCCGAACCCCUCCUCCCAAGGCAUCAGAAGCCCCACCUCCAGUGGCGGUCUCAAGCAACGCUCCCAAGCCAUCCUUCACAUAAACAAUGACAAUCACCAACCCUCGUUUGCCGUCACAUUCACCAAUCCCAAACCGGAAUCCCAAACUGCUCACCUAGGCCACACCCACCCUGAGCAUAUCUCAAGCUCCUCCCCUUCAAUAUCCCCGCCCACAAGCUCCCCGACCUCUGUUUCCUCAGAAGACCUUCCCGCUAGGACGCUAGUCAGGACAGAAGCUGUUAUCCAGACUGGAACCUCCGCACCCCAAUCCACUCAGUCAACUGAAUCUGUCACGUUUACAACUCAACGUUUCAUGUCCUCCCAGACCAUCUUGCCAACCUCCCCUUGUAGACCAAAGCAUUUAAACCCAGACGCAAGUCCCACGUCCCGCACCCCUCUCAUGGGUACCACGAACCUUGAAAAGAACCUUACCCCAAGGAGCGCGACCCGCUACCCAACCACCCCUGUCCUACCCAGUACUGCCAGUAUCUCUUUCAGCAUCUCCAACCUUACCCCGUCAAUGAGUGCCAUCACAAGUCCCACUAGUCCUUCCUCGCUUCCACUCCCUCGCAAGAAAAUCAUGACUCAGUUUGCCUCCAAGCCAAGGAUCUGCCAGUCGGAGAGCUCCUCCUCCAGCAGUUCUCUCAACAAACCGACGGAGAACUCAGAACUUUCCAUCCAAAUCGGCAAGAAGAUACGAUCGUUGUCGCUGCAGCACAACUUCACAUCCAAGCCGAUCGUAACAUCACCUCCAGGACCUGUCUGGACCAGAAGAAUGAAGGAUCCAUCGUCCAUAGACAGAGAAACACAGACAGAAGUGUAUUCCUUGGAGAUCCAGAUCCUGAAAGACGAGUUGGAGAAGGUGACGUUGCAACUUGAGGAGACGCAGUUGAAGUUGGAAGAGGAAGAGGUCCGAGCUGACAAGGCCAUCGCCGAGAUGAAAGUGGAGCUAGACAGCAGCCAGACAGAGCUGAGGAAACAACACGAAGACAAGGACAAACAGAUCAAAGAUAUCAUCACAAGUCCGUUAUCUACGUCGUUCGUUGGCCCCGGCUAAUCGAACGCACAACCACCACCAACACCAACAAACGACCAAAACAAACAACCCCAACACUUGACUUGUCACCGUCGAGGAAGAACUCAAGAAGGAGCAAGAGGAGAUGGUCGCCGUGGUUUCCGCCAAGCAGAAAAUCAUCGAGGCCCAAGAGAAGCGCAUAGAGUCCCUGGACGCGGCCAACGUCCGUCUCAUGAG